rnacentral:rRNA from 1 species
GGGCCCGCACAAGCGGCGGAGCAUGCGGAUUAAUUCGAUGCAACGCGAAGAACCUUACCUGGGUUUGACAUCGCCGGAAAUCUCGCAGAGAUGUGGGGUCCUUCGGGGCCGGUGACAGGUGGUGCA